rnacentral:misc_RNA from 1 species
GAUGAAGAACGUAGCGAAAUGCGAUAAGUAAUGUGAAUUGCAGAAUUCAGUGAAUCAUCGAAUCUUUGAACGCACAUUGCGCCCCUUGGUAUUCCGAGGGGCAUGCCUGUUCGAGCGUCAUAUUAACCACUACCGCUUGCGGGGUCUUGGGCUUCGCCUUCGGGCGGGCCUUAAAAUCAGUGGCGAUGCCCUCGGGUUCUACGCGUAGUAAAUUUUCUCGCGAUAGGGUCCCGGUGGAUGCUUGCCAACAACCCCCAACUUCUUAAGGUUGACCUCGGAUCAGGUAGGGAUACCCGCUGAACUUAAGCAUAUCAAUAAGCGGAGGA